rnacentral:sRNA from 1 species
CCCCCCGCCCGGAAGCUCCCGCCCGAGCCCGCGCAGGCCCUGGGGCCGACCUUCCUGCCGGGCCGGGCGGUCCGAGGCUGCUGGAGCGCCGUGAGCAGGCCGCGGGAACGUCGCCGUCACCUUGUCUCGGGGCCUUGGCGCUGCUUCCCGCCAAAACACGUUUACCGCGCGCCCGGGCCUCCCACCUUGCGGAAGGGGCCCCCCCACCACUUGGAUUUCUGUUGCAGGUUGAGAACAAAAACAUGCACCUGGAGUUUCCCUGGAGCCCUCUGCGUGGUUGAGCUUCGGUGGAAUUUCGGGGCUCUUGGCUGCCAGCCGCGCUUGCCUGGUAGCAACAGAAACCAGUCCCGCUCGCCUCCGUGGACAUUUCAUUACCAUCCAGAAGUGUCUCCCACUGAAGGCAUCCGUGGUUGUUUUUAAGCCACAAAAAAGCCACACCCAAGAUCACCUGACACCCACCCUGUCAAGUGUCCAUGAUGCUGGGCCCUGAGGGAGGUGAAGGCUUUGUGGUCAAGCUCCGUGGCCUGCCCUGGUCCUGCUCUGUUGAGGACGUGCAGAACUUCCUCUCUGACUGCACGAUUCAUGAUGGGGCAGCAGGUGUCCAUUUCAUCUACACUAGAGAGGGCAGGCAGAGUGGUGAGGCUUUUGUUGAACUUGGAUCAGAAGAUGAUGUAAAAAUGGCCCUGAAAAAAGACAGGGAAAGCAUGGGACACCG